UCUGCGGCCUAUUGGAGCUGCGGAAACUGCCUCAACCUGAGACUGGGCCGUGAAAUUGGAGUGCCAGGCAGGCAUUAACCUGGCUGGAAUUCAAGGAUAGGAGGGAUGAGACACAGAACAUGAGGACAGCCUAAGGUGCUGCGAGUGGGAGCAGAGCAGUAACAGGAUGUGGCCCACGAGCGACACAGCAGUAGGACUAAAGCCAUGCCAGACUCUUGUGUAACAAGCAGCCUGUUAAAUCAGCCAGAGCCAAGAGGAGGAAGUGAAGGCCAGAGGCUGCCCUGUUGCAGACAUAUCCUGCAUGUACAAUUAAAUCUGUGGAGAGGAUUGCCACAUCAUCAUACUAGCUGUCUCUUGACUGUUCUGAUUACCCAAAACAUGUCAUGCUAACCUGGCAGUGUGGGCAAAACCAUUACCAGGAAAUCUUAUCCCAACAAGAGGCAGGGCAUAGAGUACAAGGUAACCGCGUAUGGUCAAUGUGUGAAAUUGAGGACAUAGUUGAAAACUGUUGUGGAACAGCUGUAAACAACUGACAUUGCAUCGUAUUUGCAUUCUGCCUGGCAUCGGUAAUUGUCAGCCCUUUUUCUGCUUUCUUCUCUACUACUCUCUGUGUUCACAUAUACAGUAUCUUAAUGCAGCUUAAUUGUCAAUAAAACUGUCCUCAUUGACAUGUUUUUCUGUUUCUGUUGUCAGACAAUGGAACAAGUUUGGAAUUUUGACUGAAACACAGCCCAUUAAGACUGCAUGUUAACCAGCAAUCACUUCCGAGCCGUUUCCAAGCUGCUGCUCUGCACUGCCAAAAUAAUAU